rnacentral:lncRNA from 1 species
AUGGCAGCCGUUGAUUUGCUCGUGAGUUGUACUGUUGGUGGCGUCACCUACAGGAGGGGAGCUAGCAAGGAGACACCUACUCAACAGCAAAAACCAGCAGAGUCCGUCUCGACUCCUCCUGAGUGCCAAGAGAGGAGCACUCAAGCUGAGGCCAAGACCACAUCGCCAUCACCUGCUGCAAGCCCAAAGCCUACAGAGGUCCUGAAGCCAGGAUCCAAACAGUCGGGAGAAAACAUUGAGGAAAGCAGAGCGUGUAAAGCCCAUUCGGAUGACAUAGCAACUCGUGCUUCUUUCCAAACUUCUCAACAUGAGUCAUUGACGUUAUCUCCUCGUAGCGAGACUGUACUCAAUUCGUCAGUCACGACGCAUACCGAUCCCUACAGUGAAGGGUUGGCCAUUCCACAUGAUGAUAUAGGAACUUUGCCCAUGGGCGAGUUUUCUGAUAUAGAAGCUCUUUUAGAUGGAGGGACAAACCCUGAAACCGGCCUCAGUCUGGACUCACCUACUUUCUCAAAUGCUACUCAGGAGGACCAU